UUACAAUGAAGAGUUUGAUCCUGGCUCAGGAUGAACGCUAGCUACAGGCUUAACACAUGCAAGUCGAGGGGCAGCAUGGUCUUAGCUUGCUAAGGCCGAUGGCGACCGGCGCACGGGUGAGUAACACGUAUCCAACCUGCCGUCUACUCUUGG
rnacentral:rRNA from 1 species